CGGGUGAGUAACGCGUGGAUAACCUGCCUUAAUGACCGGGAUAACACCGGGAAACUGGUGCUAAGUACGGGAUACGCUCAAGUGAACACAUGUUUGUUUGAGGAAAGGAGCAAUCCGCAUUAAGAUGGGUCCGCGUCCCAUUAGCUAGUUGGAGGUGUAAGAGACCCCCAAGGCGACGAUCGGGUAGCCGGCCUGAGAGGGUGAACGGCCACACUGGAACUGAGACACGGUCCAGACUCCUACGGGAGGCAGCAGUGGGGAAUCUUCCGCAAUGGGCGAAAGCCCUGACGGAGCAACGCCGCGUGAAUGAUGAAGGCCUUCGGGUUGUAAAAUUCUGUCUUCAGGGAAGAAACAAAUGACGGUACCUGAGGAGGAAGCCCCGGCUAACUACGUGCCAGCCGCUGC
rnacentral:rRNA from 1 species